UCCUGGGUGUGGCUCACAGCUGGGGCGCAUCACGUAAUCAUACACUCUCCUACUUAAGCUACAGAGAAACGCUCAGUCAGUGCUAGUUUGUUGAGGAUCUACCCCCAUGUUUUCCUUGCCCAUGCAAGUAGAUGUUAUUUUCUCCUGUGCUAUGAUACAGAACACAAACUCCUAUCUCAAAGUCUACCACUAUAACCCACAUGCUUCUGAAGAUCCUUCAUCUUCAACUGGUGUUUGUCUCCUGCCAAACCAGCUGCCAGCCAGCAGAUUGAUUACUCCUUCCCUGGCAGAACCACUAACCCAACUCCAAGUCACAACUCUCUCCACUUCACUUUCUACCUAGGCGUGAUUCAUCCUGACUCAAGAGCCUUCAGCCUGUGUCAAAUCGGCCUUGUUUCCUGUGUUUUGUAAUGAAUACACCAUUUGACCAGAACUGUGAUUCUGCUACCUGAGUCCAGCCUGCUUCUCGCCUCCAGGGGCAGCAGGUCCUCCAUGGCCUUCGCAGUAUGAACACAGACCUCAGAGGGCUUGAUCACUGCUGCAUUACCUGGACAGUACCAGCAGCGAUGGCUCCAAUGAGCGGCUGGAUGGUGACAGCCCAGGGGUAGUUCCAGGCCCCGAUGAUCAGCACCACACCCAG